UGCGCCUUUUAUUAAAGCACAUAUGCUGUCACGCAGAGAUUUAAUUAUUUUCGAGAAAAUCACGUGAGUUGGCGAAGCGCGUGUUUGCUGGUUUAACCACAAAAAGUGAUUGAACAAUAAGUGGCUUUGAGACACACUUGCAAUAAUGUUUGAAACCGAUGUAAUACUUAUACAGCUAUAUUAUGCGCAUAUGGAUCGAAAAGAAGUAAUAACUGCAUGAGGUUUAGAAAACCACAGUCGAAAGUUGCCCUCAGGACAAUGUGUGAAUGCAUUUUUCAACAAAAGAAUAAUUAUCUGGUAACAUUUACUUUGUUGGAGAUAUGGUAGCGAUUACUAGACUCUGGGUCCAGAGUUCGAGACGGGCUGACACAUUCCUUUUUAUAUUAAGAGCCAUAUCUGAAGGAGUCCAUUUUUGAAAAUUCUAACUGUAUACGUAUAACCCCUUAAAAUAAAUUAUUUGCACUAAAUUAAGCAAUACAUAUACUAACAUACAUAUACACACUAAUAGUCUAAA